rnacentral:tRNA from 1 species
GGGAAGAGAGCAUGAGUAUGCGGUUGACUUGAAAUCAGCAGAUGGUGGUGAGUGCCACCUUUUCUCG